UACAGAGGUCCCAAGCGUUGUUCGGAUUCACUGGGCGUAAAGGGCGCGCAGGCGGUUUGUUAAGUCUGUGGUGAAAGACCGGGGCUCAACCCCGGAGUGUCCGCAGAGACUGGCAGACUGGAGUAUCGGAGAGGAGUGCGGAAUACCUGGUGUAGCGGUGGAAUGCGUAGAGAUCAGGUGGAACACCGAUGGCGAAGGCAGCACUCUGGCCGAGUUACUGACGCUGAGACGCGAAAGCGUGGGGAGCGAACAGG
rnacentral:rRNA from 1 species